GUGCCAGCCGCCGCGGUAAUACGGAGGACCCGAGCGUUAUCCGGAUUCAUUGGGUUUAAAGGGUGCGUAGGCGGCCCGGUAAGUCAGCGGUGAAAGGCUCCUGCUCCACAGGAGAGCUGCCGUUGAUACUGCUGGGCUAGAAUCUUAGCGAGGCGGGCGGAAUGCGCGGUGUAGCGGUGAAAUGCAUAGAUAUCGCGCAGAACGCCGAUUGGGGAGCCAGCUCGCCAGCUGAGUAUUGACGCUGAGGCACGAAAGCGUGGGGAUCGAACAGGAUUAGAUACCCUGGUAGUCCACGCCGUAAACGAUGAUAGCUCGCUCUUGGCCCGCAAGGGUCAGGGGCUUAGCGAAAGCGUUAAGCUAUCCACCUGGGGAGUACGCCGGCAACGGUGAAACUCAAAGGAAUUGACGGGGGCCCGCACAAGCGGAGGAACAUGUGGUUUAAUUCGAUGAUACGCGAGGAACCUUACCCAGGCUCGAACGCCGAACGAAUACGGGGGAAACUUCGUAGCCAGCAAUGGCGGUCGGCGAGGUGCUGCAUGGUUGUCGUCAGCUCGUGCCGUGAGGUGUCGGCUUAAGUGCCAUAACGAGCGCAACCCCUAUCGGUAGUUGCCAGCGGGUCAAGCCGGGAACUCUACCGAGACUGCCAGCGCAAGCUGCGAGGAAGGCGGGGAUGACGUCAAAUCAGCACGGCCCUUACGUCUGGGGCGACACACGUGUUACAAUGGCCGGUACAGAGGGCAGCCACCCAGCGAUGGGGCGCGAAUCUCAAAAGCCGGUCGUAGUUCGGAUCGGAGGCUGCAACCCGCCUCCGUGAAGCUGGAUUCGCUAGUAAUCGCAUAUCAGCCAUGAUGCGGUGAAUACGUUCCCGGGCCUUGUACACACCGCCCGUCAAACCAUGGGAGCUGGGGGGACCUGAAGUGCGUGACCGCAAGGAGCGCCCUAGGGUAAAACCGGUGACUGGGGUUAAGUCGUAACAAGGUAACC
rnacentral:rRNA from 1 species